GACUCAUUCUAAGAGUCUCUGAAGUGGAUAGGCACAUUGAUGAGUGUCUUUGGGUGGUUGGUUAUGUUUACACAAUUUGGUGGCUUCUAUGUUUUGUGGCUGCACUAGGUGGUUUUCAUGGACAGGAAUCACCAGCAGGAGUGAGGGAGUGACUGCACUUCACCCUGUUCUUCUUCUUCCUGGGAUUUUCAAUGGUGGCUUGGAACUCUGGGAAGGGAGGCCUUGUGCUCAACCACUUUUCAGAAAUCCAUUGUGGCCUCCUACUUUUGCUCAAUUCUUCGAAAGGCCUCUGUGCUAUUUAGAACAUCUUUCUCUGCAUAAUGAAACUGGAAUGGAUCCACCAGGCAUUAGAGUGAGGGCAGUACCUGGGCUUGUUGCUGCAGAUAACUUUGCUCCUGCUUAUUCCUUUUGGUCUCUGUUAAUUCAAAUUUGGCAAAAAUUGGAUAUGAAGGGAAGAACUUGUACAUGACUUCCUAUGACUGGAGACUUUCUUUCCAAAAUACCGAGGAAAUUGCAUGUGAUGAUGUAUGGACUGAACAUGAUGAGAUGAGCAGAGAAAGCACCCAAAAAGUUGCUACAGAAAAGGUUUACACAGCAAGAACUGUUAUUGAUCUGCUUAAUUUUGCAGCUUCAAAAACGAUGAAGCGUGCUAAGGCUCACUUCUAUCAUGGAAUUGCAGAGAACUUAGAUGAUCCAAAAUAUGCUCAUUACAGAUACUGGUCCAAUCCACUUGAAACCAAGUAAGGAUAGUGUUAAUGUUGCAAGUGUGAGGAGUGCAUGAAGUUAGUUCAUAUCAAAGAAAGCAAGGAAGAAUGAGGAGUUUACACUUUAAGAUUUUGAGUUGGAUUGGAUGCGGUGUCUUCUCAUCUUAUGUUAUCUUAAUUGGUUCUUUCUCAAAAUCUCUUCGGUGAUAAACAACCAUGUGACAUAUACUCAAAAUAACUCAUCAAUA